CCCCCCCCCCCCCCCCCCCCCCCCCCCAACACGCCUCUCUCCAUGUUACUCUGCUGCGUGGAUCCGUCUCCCCCCAGCAACCAGCACAGCUAAGAAUAUGCUAUCUCACAAGGUCUGCAAGACCUUGUAAAUGUGUUGAUUCGACGGUCAAAGUUUGUGUACUGCCCACAAUUCUACAAGAGGGAGAAGCCGCACGAACGCGGCAAGGCAACCAUUACGGCGUGGCUACCGCCGAAGCUGGGUGGCGCAGCGGUGUCGUUGAUCGCGGCUGUGUCCGGGGGAGAGCUGAGGCAUGGCAUGCAGCUGCUUGCGGCACGGACGUACGCCUACAUGGGUAGUUGGCUUACAAGCAUGGUUGGGGCCUGGCGGCACAAUUGGCAAAAUCAUGAAGAAUUUUCUUACUGGUGCUCCAAUUAUUCUCUUACGGAAAUGUAGGGAAAGGCUGCGUACAAUAGACCCAAAGUGGUCGGACCCUUCCCCAGACCCUGCGCAAGCGGGAGCUACAUGCACUGGGGCUGCCCUUUACUGAAGAAUCAUGUGCAUCUGUUGCAGGUCAGUUCUGUUAUUUUCUCCAGCAAUGCCGCUUUACAUUGAUGGUUCAUGUGUUUAAAGUUUGGGUGUCUGAAGCUUGUUGCAGUACUGUGUUAUCACCAGUUCAAAGCUUGGUUUGGUCUUGGUUGUAAAAUAACAGUUAUUUUAUCUAUACAAUAUUCUUCGACAAGGCUAGCCUUCUUUCCGUGUUCAUGGAUUCAAAAAGCACCUUACACUUUAAAAGCCUAAAAGGUGUAUUAUGGCAUGAAACCUCAAAAGCUAUUUAUAGGUUCAACAACUAUACUAUCCUGCUAAUUUCAGAGUUUCAGUUUCAUCAGUCGUCACAUGAACGUAUACACUAUUUUGCUUUGGCUAGAUCUGUAUUGGUUAGUUGACCAUUUAAGUAUGCUUUUGGAUCUUGCUUAUCGCUUUUAUUUCUCAUGGGUUAUGCAACAUGCACAUUGGUGUCACAUUUUUUAGAUGUGAUCCUAAUAUGUUACCUUAUAAUCCCUUUCCUGACCAAUCAGUUCAGUCUGAUGGAUGUUUUAUUUAUCUUAGAAUUACAAGGAAAUGGAUUACUUUUAUUUGGUAAAUAUUAUUUCAGAAUCCUGCUGGCUGAAGAAUUCAGUUGAAAAGGUAUGUCAUUUAGCUCUUAUUCUAUUUCCCACUAUUUGUGUUUAUUGUUCCUUUUUGCCGGUGCGAACAUGGAUACAGAGCAUUUGUAUUUGCCAAGCAUUGUGUAAAUAUUGUGGCCAAUUUGUCAUACGUUUGGCAAAUAACAAAGCGGAACAAAGCUAUUAGUCUUUGCAAGUUGUAGUGCAAAGAAAUCUUUGCACCUGGUCACAUGGUUAGGAUAUGUUUACUCCUAGCGAUAGUUCAAAUAAAAAUCCAGACAACAGUGACUACGGGCUGUGAUUAAUUUGAGCAGAGGAAGCUGGGGCGCAGGACUGAAGUUGUUCUUGCUGAUGGUCCAAGCUGCAACAUACUUAACAUGAAGUUGGUACGUGUUGAAGGAAAUCAGGGAUUAUUGUUCGUUUAUACCAAAAUUGUUGCUUCCUAACAUACAUGCUUGAUAGCUUAUCUGAGGUCUCAUAAUUUUAGGUGUA